rnacentral:rRNA from 1 species
AUUGAACGCUGGCGGCAGGCCUAACAUAUGCAAGUCGAGCGGUUGAAGGGAGCUUGCUCCCUGAUUCAGCGGCGGACGGGUGAGUAAUGCCUAGGAAUCUGCCUAUUAGUGGGGGACGACGUUUCGAAAGGAACGCUAAUACCGCACACGUCCUACGGGAGACAGAAGGGGACCUUCGGGCCUUGCGCUAAUAGAUGAGCCUGGGUCGGAUUAGCUUGUUGGUGAGGUAAGGGCUCACAAAGGCGACGAUCCGUAACUGGUCUGAGAGGAUGAUCAGUCACACUGGAACUGAGACACGGUCCAGACUCCUACGGGAGGCAGCAGUGGGGAAUAUUGGACAAUGGGCGAAAGCCUGAUCCAGCCAUGCCGCGUGUGUGAAGAAGGUCUUCGGAUUGUAAAGCACUUUAAGUUGGGAGGAAGGGUUGUAGAUUAAUACUCUGCAAUUUUGACGUUACCGACAGAAUAAGCACCGGCUAACUCUGUGCCAGCCGCCGCAGUAA